ACCCCAGACUCUGAGGACCUGGUGAACUAAGCAGAGGAGGAAGGCACAUGGCACAAAGCUUGAACCAUUGGUCUUAAGAACACCGCCAAAGACCUGCUGAUGGCAGGCAAAGCUAUUCCCUGAGCGCACUGUCAUCCACUCAGCCAUUCCGUACACCUUGGUGAAGGCAUCUUCUGUGUCCCUGGUCCCACUUACACUGCGCUGGAGGCACUGUGAUGGAAGACCUUUAAAUCGACUGCCAGCAGACUCAUAUGAGAAGGCAGAUGGUGACACAGGUAUACACCAAAGGGGCACACUGUCUGAGAAAAUGUUGUAAACAUCUUGAGUCAAUUCAGGACAUGGAGGCAGCUGCAAC
rnacentral:lncRNA from 1 species